CUGGGGCCUCCCCACAAAGUCAGAUUCUCCUUUUGGCCUUUCAAUUCCUUAAGGUUAACCUCAUUUCUCUGUUGUUUGGUCCUAGGAUUAUUCCCAGGAACAGCUGAGAAACCUUCUCCUUGUGGUCAAAUUUCAUUUUGACAAGCUCACUGUUUCUUUUCUUUCUUUCUUUCUUUUUUUUUUUUGAAGGUUUAUUUUUCUUUAAUCUGAUUUGACUUGGAGACACAAAACAAGAAAUGGAAACACCCAAAACCAUAUGGAAGAGGAGGAAGAUGAGCCCCUUUUGGGCUCAGAACCUGAACCUCGGACCCCUCCCUAGGGGGAAGAUACCAGAGAAGACAGAAGACAGAUGUCCAGGCAGUGGCUCUCCUACCAUCCAGACAGCCUGGGGCUGUCCACCGGUGCUGUAGAGAUGAGAGAAGGCCAUCCAAACAGCCAGGCCCAGCAGUGCCAGCAGCAGCCCCAGGCACAUCCCGGGCAUCCCCAAGAAUAUCUCAAGGUGCCCCAAUAAUCCCAUCAGCAACCUGAGCCUCCGCCUCCCCAACAGAUCCAAGCUGUGGGAACUCCCCACCCACUAAGCAGCCCCUGCUGCUCCAACAAUCCCAGCAGCAGCCCCAGCCACAGUAUUUUAUUCAUAAUGCUAAAGAGUUAAUUGGAGGGGAUUUGAAAGGGCCUCUAUUUAUUUGUCUUUGUAAACUUCUGCAUUGCUAAAACACAUAAGCUGGUAAUUAUCAUUAAAAUACAUCUACUCAAAAGACAACUAAGCCUAGCCGGUCACAAGAGGGUGAUGAAUGGGAUGUCCCAGUGAAGACUUCUCAGUGUAAUUAAGGUAAUGAGUUCAGGAGGUGGGAUAGGGUUAAGUAUAGAUUUCUGUAUGAUCAUCUUUUUUUUUUCUUUUCCUGGUGCCAGAUAUUAGUGGUAGGAAUUUGUCUAGUUGUUAAAGCUCUGGUCUUUGACCUUACCCAGAUGUGCUUUCUUUUUUGGCUCCCGUUAGUCUACCAGUCCCGGGAAACCCAAAAUUCUUCAAGUCCCCUUAUCUCCCUUUGACAGGAUUUUACUUAGAUGUCUUCCUGUUCCCAACAUUGUCUGUUCAAUCCCUAAAACCUUCCAAAACAAUUGUAAAUUAUCUUCCUAACCGCACAUUUUUUAUUGCUUCUUUGACAUUAUCUCAGCAAACUAAGAAAUAUAGAGAUGCAUACUAUGUCCUUUGUCCUAUGCUAGAGUCUAGCGUGUGAGAUUGUGAGCCGAGUUAAUGGACAGCUGUGAGGACGGGGGAACUGAGUCUUCAGGGUUAUAUAAGCUGAUUUCUACCUCUGUGGGCCAUCUCCCGUCAUCAGAGCUUACUGAUGGACUGACGGAGGGACACCCAAAUCUCGAGAUUUGAAAUAAUAAUAAUUAUACCUAUAAUAAAUUAACUUUCUGUUUCUCCUUGGACA
rnacentral:lncRNA from 1 species